rnacentral:tRNA from 1 species
AAGGGAGACCUAAUUCAGGUAGGAGACGAAAAAAAAGUAGUCGCUACCAAGAAUCAAUCCCAAAAGGUCGGAGCGAGGCGAAAUUGGCUUUCAAACUAGGUUCUGGGUUCACACAAGACCUGAAUCAGGAACAAGGGCUAUUAGCUCAGGUGGUUAGGGCGCACCCCUGAUAAGGGUGAGGUCCCUGGUUCGAGUCCAGGAUGGCCCACCUGUACAGGUGGCAAAAAGAAAGAAAAGAAGCGAGGAAUCAGCACCUUAUCUUACUGACAUAGUAAGAGAGAAUGCUGGCUCUGAGUAAAGAGUCCAGAGGAACCUUGAAAACUGCAUAGAGCUAGGUGAAAAAGCCAAAAAAGAAGACCGCAA